rnacentral:rRNA from 1 species
AUGGUGGAAUGGAGAGCAUCUUCCUUGAAAUCAGCAGCAGCAACUUCCUUCUCUGUCACAGCAGCUGGGGUCAUCUUCUCGUUAAGAGCAUCAGAAGCCUCAACGGUGGAAUUGAAAGCAUCUUCCUUCAAAUCAUCACCAGCGACUUCCUUCUCUGUCACAGCAGGUGGGAUCAUCUUGUUAGGGACAUCAGAUGCCUCGGCGGUGGAACUGAAAUCGUCUUCGUUGAUGGCUUCCUUUGGCACUUCAACAGCAGCUACUUCCUUUUCUUCACUGGCACUGUUGAUCUCAUCAACUAUCUCGAACACAGGUGACCAUUUGCUGCUUUCACCAUCUUCAGUUGAGGCACCUUCAACGUUUUUGAUAGCUAGUUCAGGUGUGGCCUUGGAAAGGACACCUAAGAUAGGUGAAUCCUCCAUUGCGGACAAGGGAACAGACUUCUCAGCACUGGCAAGCUUCUGUUCUUCCUCAACUGCAGCUUCUGAUGCAUCAUGGUUCAUAAUUAGCAAAUGGAAUCAACAGAUAAAGGACAAAAUUUAUAAAAUACAAAAGCAAUGA